rnacentral:rRNA from 1 species
GAUGAACGCUGGCGGCGUGCCUAAUACAUGCGAGUCGAGCGAACAGACGAGGGGCUUGCUCCUCUGACGUUAGCGGCGGACGGGUGAGUAACACGUGGAUAACCUACCUAUAAGACUGGGAUAACUUCGGGAAAACGGAGCUAAUACCGGAUAAUAUAUUGAACCGCAUGGUUCAAUAGUGAAAGACGGUUUUGCUGUCACAUAUAGAUGGAUCCGCGCCGCAUUAGCUAGUUGGUAAGGUAACGGCUUACCAAGGCGACGAUGCGUAGCCGACCUGAGAGGGUGAUCGGCCACACUGGAACUGAGACACGGUCCAGACUCCUACGGGAGGCAGCAGUAGGGAAUCUUCCGCAAUGGGCGAAAGCCUGACGGAGCAACGCCGCGUGAGUGAUGAAGGUCUUCGGAUCGUAAAACUCUGUUAUUAGGGAAGAACAAAUGUGUAAGUAACUAUGCACGUCUUGACGGUACCUAAUCAGAAAGCCACGGCUAACUACGUG